AAAAGUGAAAGACGGUCUUGCUGUCACUUAUAGAUGGAUCCGCGCUGCAUUAGCUAGUUGGUAAGGUAACGGCUUACCAAGGCAACGAUGCAUAGCCGACCUGAGAGGGUGAUCGGCCACACUGGAACUGAGACACGGUCCAGACUCCUACGGGAGGCAGCAGUAGGGAAUCUUCCGCAAUGGGCGAAAGCCUGACGGAGCAACGCCGCGUGAGUGAUGAAGGUCUUCGGAUCGUAAAACUCUGU
rnacentral:rRNA from 1 species